rnacentral:lncRNA from 1 species
GCGUGUGUAUAUAUUUUUUUAUAGAGUGUAUAUAUAUAUACUAUAACUUAUCUAGAAAAGGGAUCUUCUCCUUUUUUAAACCUAAGCUUUCGAUACAAGUCACACUGUAUGAAGCUCGUACAUUUUCUAAGUUUCAUCUUUUUACCUACUUCACCGGCCAACAUCAAUAAUAGGUGUGGUUAACAUGAACUUACCCUGUGAUAAUACUAUCCCAAAUCACCGACCUUUAAAUCUAAAAAGUUACUCUUCAGCCAACAAUCAACCUUACAAUCCGUUGGACCUAUACGGUCAAACAAACCUUGCCGCCAGAGAAAAUACUGUGGCCACUCUCCUAAAGAAUUUUCCCACCACCACCAUCAGGAAUUCAACCAUACUGCCGUCAUCUGAUGAUCAACCCACACCUAACUUGAAUUCUAAUUCCGAACAAAUCUUUGAACUCUAGGAACAAAUGAAAUGAUGAAGGAACGGCUACAACAACAAUAAGAGCAGAAUUGGCAACUGACCUUACGAUCACCCCCAAUUUAUGUAAGAAUUGCGAGCAACCCGAAAUUCCCCUCAAAAAUAAUGAAGAAGCAACCUCUUCUCCUCUUGGUCACCAGCAAAAGCAUCCCGAAAAAACAAUCUUCAAAUUUUGCUACAAACACUACCAAAUGGAAUCCAUUAAAAAACUACGAACCUUAUAGUGUAUAAAAUUAGAUGAUGGAGAAUGGAAACUUUCUCCAAAUAACCUUAUGGCUUCAGAUAUCACGGUUGUAGACUUAACACCCACCUUUAGACCUCUCUUAAGCGACCCACAUGAUCACUAGUUAACAAUACAACAAUUACAUGGAUAUCAUGUGUGCCACUGAUGUGCUUAAAUGUAGAGUCUUUUUGGUAACCCUUGCAAAUCAUGCAAGGUAUCAAUCUCUAUUCUCUAGGUUAAUACACACUUUUGAACAACUACCUCGUCAAUUUAUGGGUCACUUUGUAUAAUCCUUAAAAGCCCCACAAAUAUGCUUUUAGUUAAGCAAAAUAGAGGCAAACCUCUUAGAGAAUACAUUCGUCAUUUUAACGUAGCAACAAUGGUAACCAAAAACUUAAGUGAUGAGUGGGCAACCCAAGCCUUUAUAUCUGGUGUAGAGCAUGAGUACCUAAAAUAUGCUUUAACAAAUGAAAAGCCUGAUAAACUUUACAGUUUGUAUGAAAAAGCUAACAUGUACAUGGAAAUAGUAUAAAUAGUACGUCAAACACACCUCACCCACAUCAUGAUUCAACGUAGGACAAAUUCGACUGUCCCAGACGAGGUAGACCUAGAAGUAGAGACAUACCAGCGUGAGCUUUUAAUUCAGAAGUCCACAUGGGAGGAACGGUUCCCUCAGUCAUCUCAAUCCAUGAAACAUCAUGAAUCAAACCAGUUAUCCUGGAGGCUAAGCAAGUAGAUAGAGCUUCGUAUGAAAGGUUUUGACUCGAACGCCCCUUUAAAUGCUUCCAAAGCUUCUAUACUUAAUCAAGUCAAGGGGCAAGGAAUUCUUAAGCAACCACUUCCAAUGAGGUCCAGUCAGUUAAGGUGACUGUCCUUUGAGCAUUGUCAAUUCCAUAAUUAUAUUGGGCAUUAGACAAAAAAAACUGUCUAUUUGAAAGACACCAUUGAAAGUGCAAUUCGACAUGGUAAGUUGAAAUAGUUUAUAGGCCAAGACCUUCAACAGCCUCCUCAACACAAUCCAUGAGCUUCCUGAAGAGGCAACUAAUACAAAUCCUAAGGUAAGAAACCUAUUAGAGGGAAGUAAUGAAGAAUGGACCCCUUCAAAGUCAAAAAGAAAAGCUCACUUACAGAGCGCUAUGUAGAUACGUACAUCAAUGAAAAAACCUCGCCAAUUGGAAUCCUAGAAUGUAAACUUCGAUAACAAGGAUGAAAUGCUGUGUUGGAUGCUUGUGCAACUAACCCUCUAAUAGUAACAGUGACAAUAGCUAGAUAUCAAGUCAAGCGAAUUUUGGCUAAUAGGGGUUAAGUGAGUUACCCCACUUUGAUCCUGUCCAAACCUAAUUGGAGAGGGUCAUGUUUGGAUGAUUAC